CUGAUAUGAUGAGUAGCUUAUACCGCCCCAGUCUGAUUUUGAUCUGACUGAUUGGUACCCCUCUGAUCUCUG